rnacentral:rRNA from 1 species
UACAGAGGGGGCAAGCGUUAAUCGGAAUUACUGGGCGUAAAGCGUGCGCAGGCGGCUUUGCAAGACAGAUGUGAAAUCCCCGGGCUCAACCUGGGAACUGCAUUUGUGACUGCAAGGCUAGAGUACGGUAGAGGGGGAUGGAAUUCCGCGUGUAGCAGUGAAAUGCGUAGAUAUGCGGAGGAACACCGAUGGCGAAGGCAAUCCCCUGGACCUGUACUGACGCUCAUGCACGAAAGCGUGGGGAGCAAACAGG